rnacentral:lncRNA from 1 species
ACUGGAGUUGCGUGAACUACGGGUAUCAGUGAACAGUGCUAGUCCAUAGUGAUGCAGUUAAAUUACAAACUACAAUAAUUUUUUAUUACCAUGGUUUAAGUAGAUUGAUCUUUAAACUUGUAUCUUAUAUAACCUUUUUUUGUAUCAUAGAACAAAAUAAACGAGUAAAUAAUGACUCCUAUUCUUGGUUACUGGAAAAUUAGAGGGCUCGCUCAGCCGAUUCGACUACUUCUUGGGUAUACUAAAACUGAUUUUGUUGACAAGACUUAUGAGUCGGGUGCUGCCCCAGAAUAUGACAGGACCUCAUGGUUAAGUGUGAAGUAUACACUUGGAUUGGACUUUCCGAAU